UACGGAGGGUGCAAGCGUUAUCCGGAUUUACUGGGUUUAAAGGGUGCGUAGGUGGGUUGGUAAGUCAGUGGUGAAAUACUUUCGCUUAACGAAGGAACUGCCAUUGAUACUACCAGUCUUGAAUACAGUGGAGGUAGGCGGAAUGCGUCAUGUAGCGGUGAAAUGCUUAGAUAUGACGCAGAACACCAAUUGCGAAGGCAGCUGGCUACACAAAUAUUGACGCUGAGGCACGAAAGCGUGGGGAUCAAACAGG
rnacentral:rRNA from 1 species